CCUACGGGAGGCAGCAGUGGGGAAUAUUGGACAAUGGGCGCAAGCCUGAUCCAGCCAUGCCGCGUGUGUGAAGAAGGCCUUCGGGUUGUAAAGCACUUUUGUUGGGGAAGAAAAGCCAUGGGUUAAUACCCUGUGGUUAUGACGGUACCCAAAGAAUAAGCACCGGCUAACUUCGUGCCAGCAGCCGCGGUAAUACGAAGGGUGCAAGCGUUACUCGGAAUUACUGGGCGUAAAGCGUGCGUAGGUGGUUUGUUAAGUCUGAUGUGAAAGCCCUGGGCUCAACCUGGGAAUGGCAUUGGAUACUGGCAGUCUAGAGUGCGGUAGAGGGUAGCGGAAUUCCCGGUGUAGCAGUGAAAUGCGUAGAUAUCGGGAGGAACAUCCGUGGCGAAGGCGGCUACCUGGACCAGCACUGACACUGAGGCACGAAAGCGUGGGGAGCA
rnacentral:rRNA from 1 species